rnacentral:rRNA from 1 species
GAUGAACGCUAGCUACAGGCUUAACACAUGCAAGUCGAGGGGCAGCAUGGUCUUAGCUUGCUAAGGCCGAUGGCGACCGGCGCACGGGUGAGUAACACGUAUCCAACCUGCCGUCUACUCUUGGACAGCCUUCUGAAAGGAAGAUUAAUACAAGAUGGCAUCAUGAGUUCACCUGUUCACAUGAUUAAAGGUAUUCCGGUAGACGAUGGGGAUGCGUUCCAUUAGAUAGUAGGCGGGGUAACGGCCCACCUAGUCUUCGAUGGAUAGGGGUUCUGAGAGGAAGGUCCCCCACAUUGGAACUGAGACACGGUCCAAACUCCUACGGGAGGCAGCAGUGAGGAAUAUUGGUCAAUGGGCGAGAGCCUGAACCAGCCAAGUAGCGUGAAGGAUGACUGCCCUAUGGGUUGUAAACUUCUUUUAUAAAGGAAUAAAGUCGGGUAUGUAUACCCGUUUGCAUGUACUUUAUGAAUAAGGAUCGGCUAACUCCGUG